rnacentral:snRNA from 1 species
GACUCACGCUCAAGAGAACC